GUCUAUUUUAGUGCAUACAGGUGUUCUAGAAAGUAUUGGAAAAUUUGGGGAUGAAUUGAGUUGUGGGGGUUGGAAUUUUGGUUCCCAGACCAGAACCGGAAUUCCGGUUCCUGGGAGCCUGCGUCAACCGGUCGACCGGUUGGUCCCAGGAACCGGACUUCCGGUUGGGAACCGGCCUGCCGGUUGGGGUUUUUUUCCCGAACCCUAAUUUUUCCGUUUUUAAGUAUUUUAGGGUGUUGUCAUCCUUUUCAUCGAUAGGGCUAAGCUUAGUUUGCGUUUUAAAUCCCCGAUAAGUAUUUUAGCGAGUCUCUCAUCGAAUUUUGAAUAUUAUGGUUUAGGGCCCUGUAAAACGUCGAGCUGCACUUCCACUCAGGCUGACCGGCACACUUGAGCAAGGAACGAGGUAAAGGAAAAGCAAAGCUGGAGGAACAGUGAGGUGGAACUCGGCAUGAUUGUACAUAUUGCGGCAGUGCAACCUGGAGGGUUUCGAUUUAUAAAUAUUUUGGAGUCUGUAUUUUGAUGAUGCAUGUCCGCAAAACUUUAAAAAAAAAAUAUAUAUGCAUAUUUAAUAGUAAAGUACUUUUAACCUAAAUUUUGAUACUCGGGAUCCCGAUCCAUAUGUUUAUUAAUAUAUAAAUUAUUAAAGUUAA